rnacentral:rRNA from 1 species
GACGGAGGUGGCUAGUGUUGUUCGGAAUGACUGGGCGUAAAGGGCGCGUAGGCGGUUUUUUAAGUGAGGCGUGAAAGCCCUGGGCUUAACCCAGGAGGUGCGUUUCAUACUGGAAGACUUGAGUGCGAGAGAGGAAAGUGGAAUUCCUAGUGUAGAGGUGAAAUUCGUAGAUAUUAGGAAGAACACCGGUGGCGAAGGCGGCUUUCUGGCUCGCAACUGACGCUGAGGCGCGAAAGCGUGGGGAGCAAACAGG